UCCCUCUUAGCUCAGUUGGUAGAGCGCGUCACUAGUAAUGACGAGGUCAGUCGCUCAAGUCGGCUAGAGGGAA
rnacentral:tRNA from 1 species